AUUGAACGCUGGCGGCAUGCCUUACACAUGCAAGUCGAACGGCAGCAUAGGAGCUUGCUCCUGAUGGCGAGUGGCGAACGGGUGAGUAAUAUAUCGGAACGUGCCCUAGAGUGGGGGAUAACUAGUCGAAAGACUAGCUAAUACCGCAUACGAUCUACGGAUGAAAGUGGGGGAUCGCAAGACCUCAUGCUCCUGGAGCGGCCGAUAUCUGAUUAGCUAGUUGGUGGGGUAAAAGCCUACCAAGGCAACGAUCAGUAGCUGGUCUGAGAGGACGACCAGCCACACUGGGACUGAGACACGGCCCAGACUCCUACGGGAGGCAGCAGUGGGGAAUUUUGGACAAUGGGGGCAACCCUGAUCCAGCAAUGCCGCGUGAGUGAAGAAGGCCUUCGGGUUGUAAAGCUCUUUUGUCAGGGAAGAAACGGUAGUAGCGAAUAACUACUACUAAUGACGGUACCUGAAGAAUAAGCACCGGCUAACUACGUGCCAGCAGCCGCGGUAAUACGUAGGGUGCAAGCGUUAAUCGGAAUUACUGGGCGUAAAGCGUGCGCAGGCGGUUGUGUAAGUCAGAUGUGAAAUCCCCGGGCUCAACCUGGGAAUUGCAUUUGAGACUGCACGGCUAGAGUGUGUCAGAGGGGGGUAGAAUUCCACGUGUAGCAGUGAAAUGCGUAGAUAUGCGGAGGAAUACCGAUGGCGAAGGCAGCCCCCUGGGAUAACACUGACGCUCAUGCACGAAAGCGUGGGGAGCAAACAGG
rnacentral:rRNA from 1 species